rnacentral:rRNA from 1 species
AUUGAACGCUGGCGGCAUGCCUUACACAUGCAAGUCGAACGGUAGAGGGGGCAACCCCUCGAGAGUGGCGAACGGGUGAGUAAAGCAUCGGAACGUGCCCAGUAGUGGGGGAUAGCCCGGCGAAAGCCGGAUUAAUACCGCAUGAGACCUACGGGUGAAAGGGGGGGAUCGCAAGACCUCUCGCUAUUGGAGCGGCCGAUGUCAGAUUAGGUAGUUGGUGGGGUAAAGGCCUACCAAGCCGACGAUCUGUAGCUGGUCUGAGAGGACGACCAGCCACACUGGGACUGAGACACGGCCCAGACUCCUACGGGAGGCAGCAGUGGGGAAUUUUGGACAAUGGGCGCAAGCCUGAUCCAGCCAUGCCGCGUGCGGGAAGAAGGCCUUCGGGUUGUAAACCGCUUUUGUCAGGGAAGAAAUCCUUUGAGCUAAUACCUCGGGGGGAUGACGGUACCUGAAGAAUAAGCACCGGCUAACUACGUGCCAGCCGCCGCAGUAAGAC